rnacentral:rRNA from 1 species
AACGACUCUCGGCAACGGAUAUCUCGGCUCUCGCAUCGAUGAAGAACGYAGCGAAAUGCGAUACUUGGUGUGAAUUGCAGAAUCCCGYGAACCAUCGAGUCUUUGAACGCAAGUUGCGCCCGAAGCCUUCUGGCCGAGGGCACGUCUGCCUGGGCGUCACGC